GACGAACGCUGGCGGCGUGCUUAACACAUGCGAGUCGAACGGAAAGGCCCUGCUUUUGUGGGGUGCUCGAGUGGCGAACGGGUGAGUAACACGUGAGUAACCUGCCCUUGACUUUGGGAUAACUUCAGGAAACUGGGGCUAAUACCGGAAAGGAGUUCCGGCUGCAGGGGGGGGGUUGGAAAGUUUCGGCGGUUGGGGAUGGACUCGCGGCUUAUCAGCUUGUUGGUGGGGUAGUGGCUUACCAAGGCUUUGACGGGUAGCCGGCCUGAGAGGGUGACCGGCCACAUUGGGACUGAGAUACGGCCCAGACUCCUACGGGAGGCAGCAGUGGGGAAUAUUGCACAAUGGGCGGAAGCCUGAUGCAGCAACGCCGCGUGCGGGAUGACGGCCUUCGGGUUGUAAACCGCUUUCGCCUGUGACGAAGCGUGAGUGACGGUAAUGGGUAAAGAAGCACCGGCUAACUACGUG
rnacentral:rRNA from 1 species